rnacentral:lncRNA from 1 species
GGGCUGUGCGCAGCGCCAGCGUGGCCGGCACCCACUUGCUGCAGAGCCGGCACUGCACUGGGGUCCUGGGGGCGGCUCCUCCAGACGUCUCCGCGGGUUGUCGGGUGCUGCCAAGUUGGGCUGGGGGACGCCACAGGUAGUGGUGGGUCCCGAGCAGCGGCUGGCCCCUCAUCUCACUGCCCCUCCCCGCAGCUCUGCCUCCUCGGACCCCACCGUCCCCUGGAAGCUCGCGCAGGGCACCUGCCACUGUGACCACUUGGACGCGGGUUUUCCUGGUGUCUUUGCAAAAGCUCAGGAUCGGACUUUGUCAGCAAGGUGGGUCCCUCCUCUCAGCAUAGCAAGCUUGUUUCUACCCUGGUCCCGAGAACCUCAGAGGCUGAAGCUUGAGUCCCCACCUGAAGGUGUCUGCUUUUCCAGAAUAGAGAAGAAGAACUAUGGCCCAGGGGUCACUGUCAUUCGGGGACGUGGCUGUGGGCUUCACCCGGAAAGAGUGGCAGCAGCUGGACCUGGAGCAGAGGACCCUGUACCAGGAUGUGAUGCUGGAGAUCUACAGCCACCUGCUCUCUGUGGGGUGUCAAGUCAGCAAACCAGCUGUGAUCUCCAGUUUGGAGCAGGGGAAGGAGCCAUGGAUGGAGGAGGAAGAGAUAAGGACGUGGAGCUUCCCAGGAGCCGUGUUGGGAACAGGCCUCCAAAUCUGGCCAUAAACAAAAUCUCUGCAGCACAGUGACAUGUUCACGAUGGCCAUGAGGCCCACGCUGAAGGUUGUGGGUUUACCGGAAUGAGGGCAAGGAACACCUGGCUCACCCAGGGUGGAAAACCGCUUAAAGGCGUUCUUAAACCACAAACAAUGGCAUGAGCGACCUGUGCCUUAAGGACAUGCUCCUGCCGCAGAUAACUAGCCAGAGCCCAUCCCUUUGUUUUGGCCCAUCCCUUUGUUUCCCAUAAGGAAUACUUUUAGUUAAUCUAUAAUCUAUAGAAACAAUGCUUAACACUGGCUUACUGUCAAUAAACAUGUGGGUCAAACUCUGUUUGGGGCUCUCAGCUCUGAAGGCUGUGAGUCCCCUGAUUUCCCACUCCACACUC